rnacentral:rRNA from 1 species
UACGAAGGGUGCAAGCGUUAAUCGGAAUUACUGGGCGUAAAGCGCGCGUAGGUGGUUCAGCAAGUUGGAUGUGAAAGCCCUGGGCUCAACCUGGGAACUGCAUCCAAAACUACUGAGCUAGAGUACGGUAGAGGGUAGUGGAAUUUCCUGUGUAGCGGUGAAAUGCGUAGAUAUAGGAAGGAACACCAAUGGCGAAGGCAGCUACCUGGCCUAUAACUGACGCUGAGGUGCGAAAGCGUGGGGAGCAAACGGGGAUUAGAUACCCCGGGUAGUACCGUCCGUA